AUUGAACGCUGGCGGCAGGCUUAACACAUGCAAGUCGAGCGGGGUGAUGGUGCUUGCACUAUCACUUAGCGGCGGACGGGUGAGUAAUGCUUAGGAAUCUGCCUAUUAGUGGGGGACAACAUCUCGAAAGGGAUGCUAAUACCGCAUACGUCCUACGGGAGAAAGCAGGGGAUCACUUGUGACCUUGCGCUAAUAGAUGAGCCUAAGUCGGAUUAGCUAGUUGGUGGGGUAAAGGCCUACCAAGGCGACGAUCUGUAGCGGGUCUGAGAGGAUGAUCCGCCACACUGGGACUGAGGCGCGGCCCAGACUCCGACGGGAGGCAGCAGAGGGGAGUAUUGAACAAUGGGGGGAUCCCGGUUCCAGCCAUGCCGCGUGUGUGGAGAAGGACUUAUGGUUGUAAAGCACUUUAAGCGAUGAGGAGGCUUUUUUGGUUAAUACGCAAGAUGAGUGGACGUUACUCGCAGAAUAAGCACCGGCUAACUCUGUGCCAGCCGCCGCGGUAA
rnacentral:rRNA from 1 species